rnacentral:rRNA from 1 species
AGUGAACGCUGGCGGCGUGCUUAACACAUGCAAGUCGGACGAGAACGGAUUAUAGCUUGCUAUAAUUGUCAGCUAAGUGGCGCACGGGUGAGUAAUGUAUAGGUAAUAUGCCUCUUACUAAGGGAUAACAAAUGGAAACGUUUGCUAAUACCUUAUACUCCUUAUUAACAUAAGUUAAUAAGGGAAAGAUUUAUUGGUAAGAGAUUAGCCUGUAUUGUAUCAGUUAGUUGGUGGGGUAAUGGCUUACCAAGACUAUGACACAUAACUGGUUUGAGAGGAUGAUCAGUCACACUGGAACUGAGACACGGUCCAGACUCCUACGGGAGGCAGCAGUGGGGAAUAUUGCACAAUGGACGAAAGUCUGAUGCAGCAACGCCGCGUGGAGGAUGACACAUUUCGGUGCGUAAACUCCUUUUAUAUGAGAAGAUAAUGACGGUAUUAUACGAAUAAGCACCGGCUAACUCCGUGCCAGCAGCCGCUGUAACAC